rnacentral:lncRNA from 1 species
GACAGAUGGCACGUGUGCGUGCGUAAGGCUCUGGAACAGCACUGCUGGUGUGAGGAAAGUGAAGAAAGCCAAACUGAGCUCAUGCUGAUGCUCAGAAAAGGAUCUUUGACACGGGAAAGAAGAACUCCUUGUGCCCUGAUGAGAAGGAGAAGGAUUGCAUGUCUGUUUCCCUUGUGGCUUUUCUUCAUCUGCUGACUAAAUCCUCCGGUAUUUGUGUGCUCAGAGCUUCAGGCAGGGCACUUGAGCACAACGUGCCCGCUUUGGGGAGCGGGAGGAGCAGCGUGCUGCUAACAAGCCUCCUUGAGGUGGAGAGCCCGGGAAGAAGCAGAGCCGCGCGUCUGCCUUUGCUUGUGCAGCUGGAGACCAAGUACCUGGAUGUGUGGUCGUCCUGGGAUUUAGUGAAGGAUGUGGAAAACAAGUGCAUUGGCUCUAUUGGCUCUCACUUCCUGUGGGUAGCCUGAAAAUGGAGCAAGUCGGAAAGAAAUGCAGCUUUUUGGAUCAUUAAAAAUCCAUUUUCAUUAAAAGCGAAGUAUUGCAGUGACAUACUUAUUUAUACAUUCAUUCCCUGUCUGUCUAUGCCUUAUGGGCAGAGUGAGAAGAGAGCCUUUUCAUAACAGUUUUAAAGCCUAAAUGAAAGAAAAGCAUUCUAUUUACCUUGAACUACUUGCAUGGCAUACUUCCACCCCCCCGUAUUGGAUGGCAAUUACUCUGCAUUCUUUCUUUACCACCAGUUUCUUUUGUCCUAUGUAUCAUUUGUUUUUUAUCUAUAUCUUCCACCUAUCUAUCUAUUUCCUCUUUGUGCUUAGAGUUGGUUGCAAAUUAUAUUUGUGAUGCACGGAGCUUUCAAUCUGACUGUCUUGAUAUUAUUUUAUGCAACCGUGACUACCGUAAAAAUUGGCUUUACUGCCUCUUUUGUGUUAUUGAUUCAAGCCCAUUUCAGAAUUAACUUGUUUGGAAUGAUCUGGCAAUGUUAUAUGCCCCAGGUUCUCUCAGUAAAAAUUCAUAUCUCAUAACUAAAUGCAAUAAAAUGUUCAAAUAUAUCUAAACA